GCGGGUUUAGCUCAUCUGGUAGAGCGUCUGCUUCCCAAGCAGAAGGUGGCGAGUUCGAGCCUCGUAACCCGCUCCA
rnacentral:tRNA from 2 species